rnacentral:RNase_P_RNA from 1 species
AGUGACGAAACGAUCAGGGAAACCUGAGCGGUGGAACGGGUAAACCCCGCGAGCGAGUAACCCAAACUUUUGGUAGGGGCGUUUUGCCAAGCAAAUUGAAGCGACGGCAAUACAGCGGUAACGCUGAGAUAGAUGAUGACUGAAGGAGCUUGUGCCUGAACAAGUUCUGGAACAAAACAUGGCUUAUAGGG